GCGGUAAUACGUAGGUGGCAAGCGUUAUCCGGAAUUAUUGGGCGUAAAGCGCGCGCAGGCGGUCUCUUAAGUCUGAUGUGAAAGCCCACGGCUCAACCGUGGAGGGUCAUUGGAAACUGGGAGACUUGAGUGCAGGAGAGAAAAGUGGAAUUCCACGUGUAGCGGUGAAAUGCGUAGAGAUGUGGAGGAACACCAGUGGCGAAGGCGGCUUUUUGGCCUGUAACUGACGCUGAGGCGCGAAAGCGUGGGGAGCAAACAGGAUUAGAU
rnacentral:rRNA from 1 species